ACAGAUCGUUUCACUAGAUAAAACCCUUAUUUCCUCGUCAGGUAUCGUGUAGAGCCCUUUAAAGCUGCACUGAAACUGUAAUCUUGUCUUUCAACCGUUUGCUAGCCGUUGAAGUCCACCAUAAGGAGAAUAAUCCAGGAAUGUUUCAUCAAAAACCAUAAUUUAUUUUCGACUGAAGAAAGAAAGAUGUAAACAUCUUGGAUGACAAGGGGGAUUUGCAGAUAGAAAUUCUCAGGGAUAACGCUGUCCUGUAAACCAAUCCUACCAAGUGAUGUUUGGAACCAAGUGGUAGAAGUUCUUGAACCAUUAACUGGCGGAGGACUGUGAAUGAAGUUUCUUGAGCUGCAUGGAGUCAGCAGUUUUUUUUUUUUUUUUUUUUUGUUUUCUGGCCCAAGACUUAUGAUGUUGAGCUAGUGGAACCAGUCCACAUAUUUCAUGGACAUAUUAACCUCUCUGUUGAUGGAUAAAACAUUGAUAAUACAAGACAAUAAUAAAAAAUAAAAAAAAAUUAUUAAUCUAUUUCUA